rnacentral:rRNA from 1 species
GCCUACGGGGGGCAGCAGUGGGGGAUAUUGCACAAUGGGGGGAACCCUGAUGCAGCGACGCCGCGUGGGUGAAGGAGUAUUUCGGUAUGUAAAGCCCUAUCGGCAGGGAAGAAGCAAGACGGUACCUGACUAAGAAGCCCCGGCUAACUACGUGCCAGCAGCCGCGGGAAUACGGAGGGGGCGAGCGUUAAUCGGAAUUACUGGGGGUAAAGCGCUCGUAGGCGGUAUGUCAAGGCAAGGGUGAAAUCCCCGCGCUCAACGUGGGAACUGCCUUUGAAA